rnacentral:rRNA from 1 species
GAUGAACGCUGGCGGCGUGCCUAAUACAUGCAAGUCGAGCGAACAGACGAGGAGCUUGCUCCUCUGACGUUAGCGGCGGACGGGUGAGUAACACGUGGAUAACCUACCUAUAAGACUGGGAUAACUUCGGGAAACCGGAGCUAAUACCGGAUAAUAUAUUGAACCGCAUGGUUCAAUAGUGAAAGACGGUUUUGCUGUCGCUUAUAGAUGGAUCCGCGCCGCAUUAGCUAGUUGGUAAGGUAACGGCUUACCAAGGCAACGAUGCGUAGCCGACCUGAGAGGGUGAUCGGCCACACUGGAACUGAGACACGGUCCAGACUCCUACGGGAGGCAGCAGUAGGGAAUCUUCCGCAAAGGGCGAAAGCCUGACGGAGCAACGCCGCGUGAGUGAUGAAGGUCUUCGGAUCGUAAAACUCUGUUAUUAGGGAAGAACAAAUGUGUAAGUAACUAUGCACGUCUUGACGGUACCUAAUCAGAAAGCCACGGCUAACUACGUG